rnacentral:rRNA from 1 species
ACUUAAUAGUAAUAAUAGAGGUAAUUAUUAUUUAUGAAUUUAGGUCUAGGUGCAGCUUAUAAAAAGGGUGAAAUGAAUUAUAUUAGUUAGAUUUAGCUAAUUUUUUAAUGAAUUAUAAAAAAUAAGUAAGAUUUAAAAGUAAAUUUAUGAUAAUAUCUUAAUUUGAAAUAAGCCCUGAAGUAUGUACAUAUCGCCCGUCGCUCUCAUGAAUAAUUGAGAUAAGUCGUAACAAAGUAAAUAUACCGGAAGGUGUUU